CCUACGGGUGGCAGCAGUGAGGAAUAUUGGUCAAUGGACGAGAGUCUGAACCAGCCAAGUAGCGUGAAGGAUGACUGCCCUAUGGGUUGUAAACUUCUUUUAUAUGGGAAUAAAAUGUUCCACGUGUGGGAUUUUGUAUGUACCAUAUGAAUAAGGAUCGGCUAACUCCGUGCCAGCAGCCGCGGUAAUACGGAGGGUCCGAGCGUUAUCCGGAUUUAUUGGGUUUAAAGGGAGCGUAGGUGGAUUGUUAAGUCAGUUGUGAAAGUUUGCGGCUCAACCGUAAAAUUGCAGUUGAAACUUGCAGUCUUGAGUACAGUAGAGGUGGGCGGAAUUCGUGGUGUAGCGGUGAAAUGCUUAGAUAUCACGAAGAACUCCGAUUGCGAAGGCAGUUCACUGGACUGCAACUGACACUGAGGCUCGAAAGUGUGGGUAUCAAACAGGAUUAGAUACCCGUGUAGUC
rnacentral:rRNA from 1 species